rnacentral:rRNA from 1 species
GACGAACGCUGGCGGCGUGCUUAACACAUGCAAGUCGAACGGAAAGGCCCUGCUUUUGUGGGGUGCUCGAGUGGCGAACGGGUGAGUAACACGCGAGUAACCUGCCCUUGACUUUGGGAUAACUUCAGGAAACUGGGGCUAAUAUCGGAUAGGAGCUCCUGCUGCAUGGGGGGGGUUGGAAAGUUUCGGCGGUUGGGGAUGGACUCGCGGCUUAUCAGCUUGUUGGUGGAGUAGUGGCUUACCAAGGCUUUGACGGGUAGCCGGCCUGGGAGGGUGGCCGGCCACAUUGGGACUGCGAUACGGCCCAGACUCCUACGGGAGGCAGCAGUGGGGAACAUUGCACAAUGGGCGGACGCCUGAUGCGGCAGCGCCGCGUGCGUGAUGCCGGCCUUCGGGUUGUAAACCGCUUUCGCCUGUGACGAAGCGUGAGUGACGGUACUGAGUAAAGAAGCACCGGCUAACUACGUG